CAUAUGCUAAGUAGAGCUACAAUUCAUAGGCUAAAAACAGUCAUACUUACCUCAUGUACUUACCUGGACCACGGGAACCUGUAAAAAAGAGAAAAGCAUUUUAAUUACUUACCAGAUUUAAAGGGUAGACCCAAGAAGCGUGUCCCCUAUUGAUAGGUAGACCCAAGAGGCGUGUCACCUGAAAGAGAAUAAGCCAAGUCGGUUAUUUGUGAUGCCAAGUUGAGCACAACUACUAAGCCAAGUCGGUUAUUAAUGAAGCUAAAUUGAGCACAACUAAUUAUAAUGCUUUUCUAAAAUAAGCCAGGACCAGUGGGUCUUGUGAGCCCAUUUGGUGGCGGCCUGGGUCCCUGGUGGUGGAUCUCAAGCUGAGGAUGGACAGUGCACCAAGGUUCCCCUCUUAGGAGGGGGCCUAACAUCUAAACCUAUCCAGCCCGUGCCUCCUCGGUCGGGGUCCAUUACUGGGGACCCCGGCCUUUGACGACAAUUCGGUCUCAUUGGACAGUGGAGUGGGACUUUGGACCCUCAUAAACCCGAAUUUGGGAUUUUUUCUAACCACACCCCUUCCCACAUCCUGUCCCUGACCCCAAUUCCCUAACCUUAAGGUCAGUGGCUGGUUCCCUGACCCUAACCCCGCCCCCUAACCCUAAGUCCACCCCCAUCCCUGUUUAAAAACUAAGUAUAGGUUUAAAAGCUAAGUAUAAGUGUUAAAAAGCUAAGUAUAAGCGUACCAGAAGCUAAGUAAGAGUUAAAAACCAAAUAAGGGUAUUUAAAAACCAAGUAUGGGAUUUUACAAACUAAGUAUAGUUAAUGGAAACGCCAAGUGAGGCUCAUUUUGCUUUGGGACUUCGGGGUGGCAACAUCUCCGGGACUUUGCUCCCGGGGAUCUUUGUAUGGGGAUAGUGUGCAGGGCCUGAAGAAGACCCGAAUUGAGGUCGAAACGUAGCCCCUAUGCACACUAUAAAAAACAAGUCGACUACUGGGGGGGGAGGGUUUUAUUGAAGUCCAUGUAAAUUUGUACAUAGUUCGUUGGUAGCUGUAAAAAAAUCCUAAAAACAGGUAUUAAAAACAAGCUAAAAAAUCCAAUUCAUAUGCUAAGUAGAGCUACAAUUCAUAGGCUAAAAACAGUCAUACUUACCUCAUGUACUUACCUGGACCACGGGAACCUGUAAAAAAGAGAAAAGCAUUUUAAUUACUUACCAGAUUUAAAGGGUAGACCCAAGAAGCGUGUCCCCUAUUGAUAGGUAGACCCAAGAGGCGUGUCACCUGAAAGAGAAUAAGCCAAGUCGGUUAUUUGUGAUGCCAAGUUGAGCACAACUACUAAGCCAAGUCGGUUAUUAAUGAAGCUAAAUUGAGCACAACUAAUUAUAAUGCUUUUCUAAAAUAAGCCAGGACCAGUGGGUCUUGUGAGCCCAUUUGGUGGCGGCCUGGGUCCCUGGUGGUGGAUCUCAAGCUGAGGAUGGACAGUGCACCAAGGUUCCCCUCUUAGGAGGGGGCCUAAUAUCUAAACCUAACCCUAACCCUGACCCUCUUAUCCUCAACCUAACCCUACACUAACCCUAACCCUAACCCUAACCCUUAAACACGAACAAUAUGCAAAUGCACUGAUGAAGCAAGACUGCUUCUUAGUGUCUAUUUCAAGCUAUUUUUGCUCUUAUAAUGAUACUAGACUGCUUUUCAGGCUCUAUUUCAAGAUAUUCUGCUCAUAUAAUGAUACUCACUUUGUCAAAAGUGACGUCUGUCUGUCUACCUGUCUGUCUGUUAGCAACAUCACUCUAAAACAGACCAACUGAUUUGGAUGAAAUUUCCAGUGAAGGUCAGAAGGACCAAGUGAUUAGAUUUUCAGCUUUGGAGGAGGACUGAUCUCUCCGAGUGCUUUUCUUGUUUAUUUAUUUAUUUAUUGUUGAGAGCAGUGUAGGGAUUUAGCCACCAUUAAUGAGCCACCAUGACAAAGUGCAUUAUUCUACAUGUUUACAGGUCAUUUCGAUUUUUUAUGACUUUGAAUAUCUUACAUUAACACUUGAUCACAUGUAAGUUAAAGCUACAAACUGUAUACCACUGAUAAUUCUAAAUGUAUUUUUAGGAGAUGGGUUAUUUGUUUUGGUGUCCCAGCUGCUAAAACCACCAGUACAGUGAACCCUCGCUAUAACGCGGUUCACCUUUCACGGCUUCGCUGUUUCACGGAUUUUUUAGUGCAGUUUUUUUAAGCUUUUUUUAAACCGUUCAUUGUGUUCUGCAUCCUGAUUGGCUAAGGGGCUGACCAACGUGAAGUCUCCGAGCCUCGUCUCCUCUGCCAUACAGGCCAGCGCUGCCUGCUGUGGAGCGCUGGAUCAUUUCUCUCCUUGGUCUCCAUGUAGUGAGACGCCCUGAAAGACGGAGCCGACGGAGCAGCCUUUUGUUCUUUUUCCCCGCCGUCUCUGGCCACCGCAGCCGUGCGGUGAAGAGCGCGGCGCGAGCUUUCCCCACCCCCGACUGCUCCAAUUGAUUCAGCCGGCCCGCUUUCUGAGGCAAGAGUACCGCCGUAGCGUCCACCUGGCUGCAGCUGCAGCGCUCCCCCAAGUGCAGUAUUGUAUAAUAACUGUAAAAAAAAUAAAGCUGACUACUUCACGGAUUUCACCUAUCGCGGGUUCUUUUUGGAACGUAACCCCCCGCGAUAAACGAGGGUUCACUGUAUUUACCAUUUCCUUUUUCUGUCUUUCUUUCCUUUCACAAUGUUGGCUUAAAGCGGAUGUGAGUCGGUGAAAUGUCCUCUGACCUGAUGGCACCACCACUGUAUGAAAAUGAGCUUUUCAUAGAAGGUCUAAAACGCAGUUUUUGCUGUCAUGGGUUAAAUUAGAUGCUUGCUCGUCAUUAUCUAUGUAUCCCAGGGCAUCUGUUUGCUCAGAGGGCUGCAUGGAGGUCAUCGCCCAUGAAGGGGUACCCAUGAAUAUUUUAAUAUUUCUGUCCCGUCUCGCAUUGCUUUUUGUCAAGCGCCCAUCUGACCGGCUGCCACUCACUGAAAAGAAGAGAGAGAAGGAGGAAGAGGGAAAUGAAGAUAGAGGGAUGAAAGCUUCCAGCAUCUUGUUUCUUCUCCUUUGUAGCACCAUUAUAAGUUCCAUAGAAGGAAUGGAGGAGUGAAAGUUUGACAUUUACAGUCUUCACACAACAACGGGGAAGCGAGGAAAUAACUUCUGGAAUCCAACUGGGGAAAAUCACCAGCAUCUGACAGGAGGGAAAUUGCUCCUGAUCCUUGGUCACAACCCCUAAGAUCUAUAAGAGAUUUGUUGCUUUCCUCGGGAGAACAAAAAAUAAGAGUGCUGCUGUUAAAGUGCACAAGAGUGACGUUUUACAUCCAUCAAACAGGUAAUUACAGGCUCCCAGACUGGUGAUGUCACAUGAACGGCUGCCUGUGAUUGGUUCGUCUGGGACUAAAGCAGGUACCAGAAUCAACACACAAGGCAAGUUGACACUUUUAACUAUUUGGAGUCAUUGAAGAGUGCAAUGUGAUCAUUUUAAGUGUUUUUUCUGAUAGUUUUAACACUGCAUACAUCAGUUUCAUGAUGAUGCAUUCAGAUUCAGAUUCAGGUUUUAUAUAUGUCGGAUACAUAUAUAUUCUGACGAGAUAUAUACGUAUACAGUGCCUUGUGAAAGUAUU